CUAACACAUGCAAGUCGAGCGGCAGCGAGACUAGUAGCAAUACUGGUUGUCGGCGAGCGGCGGACGGGUGAGUAACACGUAGGAAUCUGCCCUUAAGCGGGGGAUAACCAAGGGAAACUUUGGCUAAUACCGCAUAAUCUCGAGAGAGCAAAGCUGCCCGCAAGGGUGGCACUUGAGGAGGAGCCUGCGUCCGAUUAACUAGUGGGUGGGGUAAUGGCCUACCAAGGCGAUGAUCGGUAACUGGUCUGAGAGGACGACCAGUCACACUGGGACUGAGACACGGCCCAGACUCCUACGGGAGGCAGCAGUGGGGAAUAUUGGACAAUGGGGGCAACCCUGAUCCAGCGAUGCCGCGUGAGUGAAGAAGGCCUUCGGGUCGUAAAGCUCUUUAGGUUGGGAAGAAGGGUAUUGGCUGAAUAAUCCAGUACUUUGACGGUACCUACAGAAGAAGCCCCGGCUA
rnacentral:rRNA from 1 species